rnacentral:Y_RNA from 1 species
AGUUGGUCCAAGUGCAGUGUUGUUUACAGCUAACUGUGAUCACAACUAGUUACAGAUUCCUUUGUUCUUUCUCCACUCCCACUGCUUCACUUGACCAGCCUUAA